rnacentral:rRNA from 1 species
GACGAACGCUGGCGGCGUGCUUAACACAUGCAAGUCGAACGGAAAGGCCCUGCUUUUGUGGGGUGCUCGAGUGGCGAACGGGUGAGUAACACGUGAGUAGCCUGCCCUUGACUUUGGGAUAACUUCAGGAAACUGGGGCUAAUACCGGAUAGGAGCUCCUGCUGCAUGGUGGGGGUUAGAAAGUUUCGGCGGUUGGGGAUGGACUCGCGGCUUAUCAGCUUGUUGGUGGGGUAGUGGCUUACCAAGGCUUUGACGGGUAGCCGGCCUGAGAGGGUGACCGGCCACAUUGGGACUGAGAUACGGCCCAGACUCCUACGGGAGGCAGCAGUGGGGAAUAUUGCACAAUGGGCGGAAGCCUGAUGCAGCAACGCCGCGUGCGGGAUGACGGCCUUCGGGUUGUAAACCGCUUUCGCCUGUGACGAAGCGUGAGUGACGGUAAUGGGUAAAGAAGCACCGGCUAACUACGUG